UUUAACGUUUUUUAGCAUUUUUAUUUAGUUCAAAAAGGUAUUUAUUAUAAACGGAGUACAUAUCAACGCUCACCAUUCGACACAUUCGGUCAGUCACAUUAGCAAAGUGACCAGAGGAGCGAAACGCUCUGGGUGCAGAACAGACGAGACAAAGGAGAAAAGAAACACAAUGCAUUCAAAGGAGGACAGCAAUGUACAAAUGAACUAACAGAAAUUAGUAAGCUUACACUAUUAUUUUUUCAUUGUCAUGAAGUCAUUCAACCUUUAACGUUGUUGCCAUCAACAGUGAUUAACGUUAAUAUCAGUUCAUUUCUGAGGAUCUCCAUUUCUUAAAAAUAAAUAAAGUCACAUGUUUGUGAAUGGGCAUUUGAGAGGAAUGGAGAAGAUAAGGAUACGAACUAGCCCCCUUUUGCAGAAAAUUGCCAUUUUGAAUUCAAAAUAUCAAAAUAUUUAUUCAUUUGUGUGAUUCAAGUAGAUGAGUUAAAAAAAAAAAUCUUAUUUCAUACUUCUGUACAAAACAAUGCUGAACUUUGACAAAAAAAGUGAUGUUUUAAAAUGUCAUAUUAGUGAUUUUAUAAUGUCGAAAUAUAAAUCCAAAAGUAAAACGUAAAAAGAGCUAUAGGCUAUUACUGAGUGGAAAUGGUAGGCUAAAUGAGACUACGAAUGAUCCUCUGCUGCCAUCUAGUGGUCAUAGUGAGAAUAAUGAUAUUCAUCAUUUUAAUAGUAUUUGGUUUUCUUCCAGGUGGCAGAAAUCUUCCACUUAAGCACGGCAAAGUUUCCAUGAAUUGCCUCUAUAUGUAGAAUGCAGAUGUUCUUCAAAGUGAAUUUUACAUACGUUUACAUAAAAAGGCGAUUAAUUCAGCACCUGAAAACGGACACUGUGCUUCUGGACAGACCUGCAGUGGGUGUUUGAUUAGGCUCGUCUCUUACGCUCUGGACUCGACUGGCACGCCAGCUGACCGAGUUAUCAAAGGUUCAAGAUGAAUCCCUGAUCACAGUCAUCAAUCCAUCAUGCUUCUGGUAAACUGUGCCUCUGUUAUCAGACCUAUUCAAUAAUCACGUCACAAAAUACUGAACAACCAUCUUUAAUUGCAGGACCAAAUUUAAUCGGAAAAUUGUAAAAAAUAUCAAAUUCAUACAAAUGCUCUUUAACGGAGAUGGUGCUAGUAGCAAAGUGUACAAAAAUGAGGGGAACAACAAACCGCUUUUAAUAUUUCAUCUACCCAUCUGGAGUCCGAUCAGCUUCAUUUAACACUCGGUAUUCUCUCGCAGUGAGACAGACGAGACACAGCUGACCUACGAUCAGGGCUCUUGCUCUAGCUCA